UACAGAGGUCUCAAGCGUUGUUCGGAUUCAUUGGGCGUAAAGGGUGCGUAGGUGGUUAGGUAAGUCCGAUGUGAAAUCUCCAGGCUCAACCCUGGGAUGCCGGUGGAUACUGUCGGGCUCGAGUCCGGAAGAGGAGUGUGGAAUUCCUGGUGUAGCGGUGAAAUGCGCAGAUAUCAGGAGGAACACCAAUGGCGAAGGCAGCACUCUGGGACGUGACUGACGCUGAGACGCGAAAGCGUGGGAGCAAACAGG
rnacentral:rRNA from 1 species